rfam:Aminobacterium colombiense DSM 12261, complete genome.
GGAGUAUUUUAGAUAAUCGCUGUGCCUUUAAUGGUGUGGAGGAAAGUCCGGGCUCCGCAGGGCAAAGCGCUGGAUAACGUCCAGUUGGUGCGAACCAAAGGAAAGUGCCACAGAGAUAUACCGCUUCUUUCGAGAAGUAAGGGUGAAAGGGUGGGGUAAGAGCCCACCAGGUGCCAGGUGACUGGUACGCUUGGCAAACCCCGCUUGGAGCAAGACCGAAUAGAGGGGGAUGAGGCUGCCCGCUGACCCCUGGGUACGGUCGCUUGAGAAGUACUGUAAAGUCCUUCCCAGAUAAAUGAUUAUCUUUUACACAGAACCCGGCUUAUAAAAUGCUCCUUUU